UGAAAUGAUCUGCUCACGUGUUUGACUGCCCCCGUUCGACUCUAAGCUCCCGGGCUGGAUAGGAUCUCGCGGGUCUCGUUCAACAAACAGUACUUCCAGCGCCUCCGCAGUGCCUAGCACGGUAGCUCUGCCGUGUGACUACAUGCUGGCCAAUAGGAUGUGAGUGUUAGUGAUAUGGUCCACUUCUAAAUCGUGCCCUCAAAGGCCUAAGUAGUACUGGGCAGGGGGACAGGCUAAGGCUGGAGGAGCACAGAGAGAGAGAGAGAGCCCUGCGUCCUUGACAAAAUCACUGAGUUACGGAGCUGUUCCUGGAUCCACCUGGCUCUGACGUCUUUCCCUGGGUCUCAAGUGUAACCUUAUUCCUUCUGCAAAGCCCUCAUUGCUUUGGAAGUCAAGCCCUUCUGGAAACCACCUGCAUCGACUUGUCACCACUUUUCUUCUAAUUUCCAGGCCAGGCCAGCAUUGGUGCCCAUGGUCAUCCUCGCCAGCCCACCCUGGAGGACCACCUGCAGCACGGUGGACAGAUCUGUACAUGCCUCUGGCAGCUGCAUCACCGCCCAGGGCCCAUGUGUUCGGCAUGUUCCCAGCAGGUCAACAAGGGACGUGCCUGGGAGUUGACGGCCCCAGGCGGUACCGUCAACCAUU